rnacentral:rRNA from 1 species
GACGAACGCUGGCGGCGUGCUUAACACAUGCAAGUCGAGCGGAAAGGCCCUUUCGGGGGUACUCGAGCGGCGAACGGGUGAGUAACACGUGAGUAAUCUGCCCUUGGCUUUGGGAUAACUACCGGAAACGGUGGCUAAUACCGGGUAUGACCAUGCUCGGCAUCGGGUGUGGUGGAAAGUUUUUUCGGCCAGGGAUGUGCUCGCGGCCUAUCAGCUUGUUGGUGGGUAAUGGCCUACCAAGGCUUCGACGGGUAGCCGGCCUGAGAGGGUGACCGGCCACACUGGGACUGAGACACGGCCCAGACUCCUACGGGAGGCAGCAGUGGGGAAUAUUGGACAAUGGGCGGAAGCCUGAUCCAGCAACGCCGCGUGAGGGAUGACGGCCU